CUGCAGCAGACGUAGCGGUUUUUAACUUCCCCAUGUGCAGACUAAGUGGACCAUGCCAAACCAGCAGUGGAUAUAAAUAUUAAAAAUUAAAGUCUGGGGGGCAUUUCAUUGACACGUAAUCUGGAGAAGGGUAAAGAAUAUAAGAUGGUCAUGUCACAACUGGUGUUUAUCUUGGUGUUUCACGCUCUCAAAUGUCUUCAAAUAUCAGUAAGCUUGACCAGAAUUUCUACAGUAUCUAGACAUUACAUGGAAAAACACCAGCCUAUUGAAAAAGAGCCAAAAACAGAAGAAUAAUGUUGCCUUUGGUUUAUUGAGUGUCGAAGCUGAAGGAAAAGAUUCAUAAACUGAAUAAUAGAUUGCUGAUCGGAGAAUGGAAAGUUAUGCAUCUGCGUAAUCACAGACGCUUCAAGCUAGUUCCCAACCUGGAACUAUCACUGGGACACAAGAAGACCUCUGUAAACAACACUGAAACCUCACCCAGCCUACCAAGUACUGGAGGCUCAUUAUUAGUUCAUGACAAAGGUGUCAUGCAGACAAUCUUAAUGGGAGAUUUUACAGAGGACUGGUGAACCUGUGUGCCAAAUGCAAGAAAGAAUCUUAUAGGAACAAAGGAAAAAACUUACCUUGGUAAACUGAAUAAAUACAUUGGCUUAUCUUUACAAAAUAUUACAAUUUGAUAUUAAGUAAAAUACUAUGCUUAUUAUUAUUUGUGUAAAAUGGUAAAUAUAAUUAUAAAUAUAGUAACAUGGCAUGCAUUCAUGUAUAUGAUUGCAUAAAGUAUGCAUACCAUAAUAAAGCAGCAUCUAAACAUACUGAAAGUCUUGACUGAGAUUCUGAAUCUGCAUCAAACUCUUUUUCUCUUACAUAGUGUAUCUUUAACAUG